rnacentral:rRNA from 1 species
UACGUAGGGUGCGAGCGUUGUCCGGAAUUAUUGGGCGUAAAGAGCUCGUAGGCGGUGUGUCACGUCGUUCGUGAAAACCUGCAGCUUAACUGUGGGCGUGCGGUCGAUACGGGCAUCACUGGAGUUCGGCAGGGGAGACUGGAAUUCCUAGUGUAGCGGUGAAAUGCGCAGAUAUCAGGAGGAACACCGAUGGCGAAGGCAGGUCUCUGGGCCACUACUGACGCUGAGAAGCGAAAGCAUGGGGAGCGAACAGG